rnacentral:rRNA from 1 species
GAUGAACGCUGGCGGCGUGCCUAAUACAUGCAAGUCGAGCGAACAGACGAGGAGCUUGCUCCUCUGACGUUAGCGGCGGACGGGUGAGUAACACGUGGAUAACCUACCUAUAAGACUGGGAUAACUUCGGGAAACCGGAGCUAAUACCGGAUAAUAUAUUGAACCGCAUGGUUCAAUAGUGAAAGACGGUUUUGCUGUCACCUAUAGAUGGAUCCGCGCCGCAUUAGCUAGUUGGUAAGGUAACGGCUUACCAAGGCAACGAUGCGUAGCCGACCUGAGAGGGUGAUCGGCCACACUGGAACUGAGACACGGUCCAGACUCCUACGGGAGGCAGCGGUAGGGAAUCUUCCGCAAUGGGCGAAAGCCUGACGGAGCAGCGCCGCGUGAGUGAUGAAGGUCUUCGGAUCGUAAAACUCUGUUAUUAGGGAAGAACAAAUGUGUAAGUAACUAUGCACGUCUUGACGGUACCUAAUCAGAAAGCCACGGCUAACUACGUG